GGUUGAAAAGCAGUUGACCACUUUAAAUGCAGGGAUUGACAAGGAAUUCAUAGAGAUAAAUUUCGGCCGCGAUUGUGCAAAGGAGUGGAAAGAGGAAAUUCUGAGAGUUGCUUAAGUGGAGCAGUGUUCGUUACAAUCGAGAAAAUCAAAAAUAACAGACGCUGAAAGGGGGAACAUCGUUCAGAUAAUGGGGAAGAAGCCAAAAA